UAUUGGACAAUGGGCGAAAGCCUGAUCCAGCAAUGCCGCGUGAGUGAUGAAGGCCUUCGGGUUGUAAAGCUCUUUUGGUGGGGAAAAUAAUGAUGGUACCCACAGAAUAAGCUCCGGCUAACUUCGUGCCAGCAGCCGCGGUAAUACGAAGGGAGCUAGCGUUGUUCGGAAUUACUGGGCGUAAAGAGUACGUAGGCUGUUUUUUAAGUUAGGUGUGAAAGCCCCGGGCUCAACCCGGGAAUUGCACUUAAAACUGAAAAGCUAGAGAUUGGGAGAGGAAAGUGGAAUUACUAGUGUAGAGGUGAAAUUCGUAGAUAUUAGUAAGAACACCAGUGGCGAAGGCGACUUUCUGGACCAAUACUGACGCUGAGUACGAAG
rnacentral:rRNA from 1 species